rnacentral:rRNA from 1 species
CGUAGGUGGUCUAAUAAGUCAGUGGUGAAAUCUCUUUGCUUAACAAGGAAAUUGCCAUUGAAACUGUUAGACUUGAGAAUGGACGAGGUAGGCGGAAUUCGUAGUGUAGCGGUGAAAUGCAUAGAUAUUACGAAGAACUCCAAUAGUGUAGACUGCUUACCAGACCAUAUCUGACACUAAGGCACGAAAGUGUGGGUAUCAAACAGGAUUAGAUACCCUGGUAGUCCACACAGUAAACGAUGAAUACUAACUGUUUGCGAUAUACAGCAAGUGGUCGAGCGAAAGCGUUAAGUAUUCCACCUGGGAAGUAUGCCGGCAACGGUGAAACUCAAAGGAAUUGACGGGGGCCCGCACAAGCGGAGGAACAUGUGGUUUAAUUCGAUAAUACGCGAGGAACCUUACCCGGGCUCGAACGAUAUUUGAAUACAUCCGAAAAGAUGUAGCUAGCAAUAGCAAAUACCGAGGUGCUGCAUGGUUGUCGUCAGCUCGUGCCGUGAGGUGUCGACUUAAGUGUCAUAACGAGCGCAACCCUUACCGAUAGUUACCAUCAGAUAAUGCUGGGGACUCUAUUGGGACUGCCACCGUAAGGUGUGAGGAAGGAGAGGAUGACGUCAAAUCAGCACGGCCCUUAUGUCCGGGGCGACACACGUGUUACAAUGGGAGAAACAAAGGGUCGCUACCUGGCAACAGGAUGCUAAUCUCGAAAAUCUCUCUCAGUUCGGAUUGGAGUCUGCAACUCGACUCCAUGAAGCUGGAUUCGCUAGUAAUCGCACAUCAGCCAUGGUGCGGUGAAUACGUUCCCGGGCCUUGUACACACCGCCCGUCAAGCCAUGGAAGCUGGAAGUACCUGAAGUAUGUAACUGAAAAGAGCGUCCUAAGGUAAN